GUGUUCGUAAGAAGGAGAGAUGGUUGGCAUCUCCCCAGACAGGGUCGGGAACAGUCUUUGGGCUAACCUGUUUGCUAAACACAUCCGGUUAAGGCUACCCGUAUCGGUGUAUCUAUAACCGAAUUUUUUU